rnacentral:rRNA from 1 species
GUCUUAUUGAAUUUAUAAUUUUAAGUCAAAUCUGCUCAAUGAAUAUUUUAAAUAGCUGCAGUAUUAAUAACUGUACAAAGGUAGCAUAAUAAAUAGUUUUUUAAUUAAAAACUUGAAUGAAAGAUUUAAUGAAAUAUUAACUGUCUCAAAUUUAAAUAAUAAAAUUUUUAUUUAAGUAAAAAAACUUAAAUAAUUAAAAAAGACGACAAGACCCUAAAGAAUUUUUAUAAUUUUAUUAAUUUUAAAUUAAAAAAAUUAUUUUAAUUGGGGAAAUUUUAAAAUUUAAUUAACUUUUAAUUAAAAAAACAAAUAAAAUUGAAUUUAUUAUACUUUUUAAAAAAAUAAUAUAAAUUACCUUAGGGAUAACAGCAUAAUUUUUUUUUUAAGUUCAAAUUUUUAAAAAAGUUUAU